rfam:Ricinus communis cultivar Hale ctg_1100012360314, whole genome shotgun sequence.
AAACCAUGGUGUGGACUGCUCCUCAUUAAAUCCUUAAAACGUUACCAACAAUCAUACAGAGUCUCAUUCUCUUGUCGAAGAAACCAUGCUAUGUCAUUCCUCAACUU